CUCGUAUAAUGUGCUGUUCAUCCCCUGGGUUUUUGUUGUUUUCACCGAGUGAGUUCCUAUGAUUGCCGCGUGUGAUUGGGGUGCCUUUUCUUCUCUGGGAUCCCUCACACCUGUCCCUAGAUCCAUUUUUCAUUUGGUAAGCCUCAGCACCUGAAAAAGGGCUCCCUCUCCCCUGUGUGUGUGUGUGUGUGUGUGUGUGUGUGUGUGUGUGUGUGUGUGUGUGUGUGUGUGUUUGUGCGCGCCAUGGUUUUAUUGAUGAUUUAUUAAAAAUGUUUAAAUAAAGUCAGCAUUUUGUAAGCUUGGAACCACGUCUCCUGCUCUCUAUUCACGGUAAACGAACCUGAGUGCCUUAAAAACUAAUUCCCGCGAAACUAAUUCUUUGGGCGAAAUUCCCAAAGUGGCGUUGUUGGUUUUCCUUAACAAUUCAAAUCAAAAUCUGCCUUAUUUCACCCUCGAGUUGCCACAAAUCAAUGAAGGGUUGGGGUAGGAACUGGUAUAAAAGUAACCCUCUCCUGUGUUUUGUUAUUGCCUGCUCAAUGCAGCGUGGUCGUAUCAUCUUUGCCCAUCUGGAAAAAGAAACAUGGGAAAAACGCAUUUUUACGUCGGAGACUUUUAAGCAGAACUCUGAUCAUCUAUUUCAUUUGACUUCAAACUACUUUACCGGUGGCAUCGAGGUCCUCCCUCCCUGGACACCACUCCUCAUCACUCUGGAGAGCUCUAGAAAUCACCCGUGUCUGAUAUCUACAUGUGGCUCCUGAGCCUUUUCUUCUGCACUUUGUCUAUUUGAUGCCACCUGGUUCCAGCUCCUGUUGAAUUAUCUGAUAAUUUAGAGGACGGUAAAAGCUGGUUUUACAGGCAAAUCCUCGUGGGCGUUGGUGUCAGUCUUGCAGUAAAAAUGGCAGCUGUGCUACAGCAAUGUCUUUAGGUGCAAUUGCCAAUUAGUCUUGGUUAAUUAACUGCAAGUGCUUCACACAUCUGCCUUUCUUUUCCCCCUAUGGACGGGCGAUCCUCGUGGAUCUGUGCGCCGAACAUCAACCCUUUAUAAUCACUCACUGAUUGGGCUGCACAUCCUGCCGCUGAGUCGAACACCUGUAAAUCUCUGAGCACGGGCAGAGAUGAAGAAAAAGUAUAACAGCAGUUGCUCAGGAAACAUUUAGCCUCUAUUCCCCCAUGAUUUUACUCUUUAUAUUUGAGCCAAUUAGUUUUUGUCCAGACACUUCACUGCUGGAGCCAGAUGGGUGCACCCGCUGAAUUUGCACAACAUAGAUUUUUCCAGCUGUGUUAAAUUGCCCAACAGAUCUGAAUCACUGUAAAUCCCAAUUAGUCCAGUCAAGGGACAUGAAACUAGUCCUCUGUUACUUUCCAAAAAUCUUAGGCUGUGUCUCAUUUCAGAGACCGCAUCGGGACAAGCGCGCUUAGCUGAGUGCACUGCCGUUUUGCGCCGUUAUGUACCCUUCCUGUGUCUCAGCUCUCCAUGGUACAUGGUUGUCCACCCCUGCACUAGACUUUAAAAUUCACCUCGUCCUGAAUAAGGCUCGAACCCACCACCUCAGAAGUCCCAGUCAGUCUCCUUAUCCCCUGAGCCACAUGGACACACAAGACAAUCAUGUUUUUUUUUUGUUUUUUUUCAUACAUCACUGUACAAGGCCCACUGUUUACAGGGAUGUAUAGAUGGCUAGCCUAUAGAGUCCUCUAUAGCUUGUUCCCUUACAAGCAGUAAUUGAAAAACAAGCCCUCAGAAUUUAUGAAUAUCUUCGUAAAUCUGAUAUUUGUCCUCAUCUCUUAAGAGUGCAAACAUCUUAGUGUAAGCGUAUGUUGAUUUAAGAUAAUAAGCACUAUUUUGCUGUCUCUUUUUUGCUCCAGGAUAUUAAGGUUGGAGGCUGGUGUCUGCCCUCAUGAUUACUCAUGGUUUGGAAUCAAAAGUUUGAUUAUUACAUGUUCAAAUAUUCACUUAUUUACUGAUGUUUUUACAUGUAAUCUCAUUCUGAUGAAGUUUUUGUAACUUCAUCAGUGAAACGUGUCCUACGGUGGACCUGAAACUGUAUUAUCACCAAGUGUUGCAACAGUAAAGUUUACUUAACUAAGUUGACCUGAAAAAAAGGUCAAACUGACCGACCUGUUUGUGCCUUCAGGAUACGUUUUUUUUAACCCAUCUCGUAUUGACAUAUACGGAUGGACAAAUAUUCAGGAAACAUGUUUUACUAAAGCAAACAAAAGAUGAUCUUGUUGAUAAAUUUUUCUAAGUUGCGUGAAGUAAAUAUUUGCUUCAACUUUAUUUGAAUCUUUUAAGAAAACAUGAAGGAGGUCACAUAGGUUUACUCAGUUUCGGCUACCGUCCGGUCACAAUAACUUUUGACACUAUAAAGACCACUGAAACAAACAAUGAAAUAAACUUAUUUUUAUUUCUCAAGACUUGAUGUGAUGAUUAAAGAACAGAAAAACAAGAUUUAUCUGGACAACAUUGAAAACAGUUUGAUCAUUUCAUGCAUUAAAAUGGGAAAAUUACAAGGUAUAGAUAUGAUUGUAUCAUCAGCAUAAAAAUGAAACUGUCAUGAUAUGUUCUAGUAAUUUAAUUUUUUCAGUUUGUGUUUGUCCCUGUUUCCCUCCUGUUCUCAGAGUUUUAUUCUUUAAAUCAGUUUUCAGUGUUUAUUUCCUGUUUUAUUUUGUAGGAGUUGAUUCGUUGUGUUUCUAGUCUGGUUUUACUUCCCUAGGUUUUCCUCCUUUGUUAGUCACCCAUGAGUUUCACCUGUGUCUCACCUGUUGCUUGUUUCCCAGUCUGUGUAUAUAGUCCCUGUUUAUUUAUUAGUCUGUUGUGUGUGUGUGUGUGUGUGUGUGUGUGUGUGUGUGUGUGUGUGUGUGUGUGUGUGUGUGCGCGCGUUUGUAUAGAAUGACAUAGUAUGUCUAUGUCAGUGUAUGUCUGUGUCCUCAGUUGUCUCCUUGUGUCGUUUUUUCCCAGUGCCCUUUAGAUUCUUUGGCCUUCUUGUGUUUUUUGGACUUUUGGAUUUAGAUUUGUUUGGACAUUUUCUGAGUAAGUCUUUGUUGGCCUAAAUCCUUAGUUCUGCUUUUAGCCCCCUUUUUUCUCUUUUGUUUAACCCUGCCAUAUGAAGAAACUUUGCAUUUGUGACUUAAAUAAAGGAAUUUGUCAAUAUAGAUGAUAAAGUAAAUAGGACCCAGGAUGGAGCCUUGUGGGACACCGUUUUGCUUUCCCUUACUGCUUCCUAACGUUAUCUUUAGCAGCUGAGGUUGACCAGAAUGUGUCUGACUCAGAUGUGGAGCUGUAAAGAUCAGGGGGGAAAAAAAAGUGACACAAAACUGAAAUAAAUCGAAUAAAAGCUGAGAGUGAAGAGGCGAGCUGUGAUACUUUUUGGGGAGUAUGGAAAGGUUUCACAUAAAAUAUUCUGCUGCAUUGUGUUCACCUACACUCAAUAGAUUGGACUGUGUCUGCCUACUCUUAAAAUACUGAUCCAGUAAGUGCUCUUCCAUCCACUCAACACAUGCAUAUACCUCCAGCUUCUCUAAUAGAUCAUCUCUCGUCUUUGUCUCGGUUUCGCUCACUGAAGCCCUUUGUCAGAGUGCUAUAUUUUCCCUGUUGUUGAUAGAACUCAUGUCUUUCUCUUCCAGCACCACUAAGUAGAAAAUUACCUAAAAGAAAACCUCCCCGCUCACUUAAGAAAGAACACAACCUGCUCGCCAAACCGCCGCACCUCACGACCGUCCAGUCGGAAACCUCGCUGUGCAGGUGGAAUCUGAUCUGCGCAGUAAAUCAAUCUCGCCUGCUCUUUCUCUCGGUCUUGUUUUUGGCUGAAAAGUGCAGUAAAGUGCCGUGUAAUGAGCGGACUGGAGGAGAGCAAUUGAAUAAAAUAGUGUGGCUGGAGGGAGGAAAACUCAGAUUGCAGAGUAAAGGUGGUUGUGAUUGUUAACUGAAGUUUGUCCUCUCGGCCCGCAGGAUACCAGACAAUAUUUUCACUACAUCCAUAUCUUACAGGAACUAAAAGUAGGAGGAAUGUGUGUUUGUUUUAUGUUGUUUUUAAUGCAGCCAGAGUAACAAACCUCUCCAGAAUUAGUCUGGGGAAAAUGCUGAAGGGAGGCGGAUACAAAAUGUUAAAGUGGAAAUAUUUAAUUAUCAUGAAUCUCAGGAGGAGGAGGAGGGGAGUAAAAAGUUAACUACACUGUCAAAAAUGUUAAGAUAAAACAUAAAUAUAGGUCAAGAGUCAGACAGUUUGUUUUCUCCAUGCAUUAAUAUUUAAGUAAGGCCAUGCAUUGUUGUUAAAUAUGCUGUUAAUUUCAUCCAUCAGUUCCCUCCAUGAAUCAAACAUGGGGUAAAGUGGGCUUAACUGUACCAGUCUGCACACUGCAGGACAUCUAAGAGAACCGAACAUAGACUGUAUAUACUACACUUUAAAAACCCAGGGUGUCCCAUGUACUUUCAUACCAGUUCUUAAAAUGUAAAACUUUAUUCAACCUACCCCACCCCUUCAUUGAUUCAUUUGUUCUCCUCUUUUUUACAAUUACAAGAACUUAUCUGUUUGCUCUCUGUUCAUGUAACCGCACUGGUUAAGGUUACCGGAGUAGUAGCAUCCCAACAGAGCCUUGUUCUCAUCUUGUGUCCAUCGCCUUCUCCUUGUUGUUCCAGUAGCUCAUUUCUCAUCACAAUGCCCUGGUUCCUCAGCAUGUGACGCGGACUUUGUUAACUCGGCGACAUCAAUGGUAAUGCACUGAUGUUUAUGAGGUAGGCCAUAGAAAACAUGAACCCCCUGAUAACUUUUAAAAACAGAGCUGUUCAGAAAAAAAAGAGGACGAGCAUCAAACCAGUCUGACAGUAACUACAUGUCAACAUUGGGGAGAAAAGUUUAUAUUCUGUGUCAUUAAUUUCUAAAGUUUGUCCACAGAUCCAUAGGAAUUGCUGGAGGAGGGUGGAUUUAUGACCUAUACUGCAGCUCACCACCAGAGGGUGCUGUUCUCAGAGUGGAUUCACCCAGCGAGGAUGCAGACGGCGUCCAUUCUAUAUACACUCUACGGAUCUGAAUCACACGUGUGAAACCUUGACACCCAUCGGUUGUGUGGUCGUGACUGUGUGAGCUUUACCUGCUAAAAUAUUUUGGGUGCUUUUGCAUUUUACCGAAAUGAUUACAGUCGAUCGAGAUUUGUUUGUUCCAGAAGGCAACGUCCAAAAGAGGUGAUAGUUAGAUGCACUUGCAUGCAGAAACUGUCAUGUCGGUCGAGUUUCUCUUUUAUUUUUCAGUACAUUCAUUCAUGUUGGUUCAUGUUUUGUUUCAUGUCACUUUUCAAACCUGAUCACUAACUCUUGUUUCUGCCUUCUAGCUUUGUUCCUGUCUUGUCACACCUGCCGCCUGAUUGUGUCUCCCCACCUGUUCACCUCUUCUAUUUGACCUUGUGUGUCUCACAUGCACAGAUGCUGCUUUUGAAAGCACCGUAAAAGGAAAACAUCAAUACUUAUUUAGUUUCUUGAGGGAAGCAGAACACGCCUGCAUAUCUCCGCAAUGCUCGAUAUUAACAACGCUGAGCAAGCAAGACUCAGAGAUGGAUAAGUCCAUUUAUUUGCGCCUCUGGCUGAAAGUAUUAGCAAAGCCUUUGUAUUUCAAAAUUUGGAACUUUUAACUCCACAAGAGUGUAUAAAGUAAUUCUGUAUUCCUCUCAUUUCUCCUGCAGCCCUGCAACACAUCAGCAUCCUUAUUUCCUCCCAUACUUUCAUAGUUGCCCAGAAAUAUUGAGUGUUAGAGAUGAAUCUGAGCAGGAAGAAGUUUGAUAAAUGUUCUGUAAAGACUGUGAUGGAUUAAAGGAAGGAUGAACACCUGAAUUCAUCGGACAUGUUUCACUUUUUAAACCACAUUCUGGCUAAAGUGCCUCUCCAUUUCUACUCAGAUCUGAAAAACGAACAAGGAGACACAAAGAGAGGUUUGUGAAGUGAUUUUCUGCUCAUGUUUUUUUCUUUUUCCUUUGGUUUUAAUGUUUCAUUAAAGAAGCAAAAUUAGGAAACAGACGAACCACAUUCAGCUCUGUCUGCGCUGAAUCAUUUUUCAGAGGGUUCAGAUGUAAAUCGAUGAAUUAAACCCACUUUACGCCGUGAUUUUGCAGCCCAUUAGUAAGAUUAGAAAGACG
rnacentral:lncRNA from 1 species